AUCUCCAUCUUACGAGGUAGUUUUGGAUGUUAUAACUCCCUCUAAUACUGCCUGGUAAUGAUGAUGAU
rfam:Salmo salar isolate Sally breed double haploid chromosome ssa22, whole genome shotgun sequence.